UACGUAGGGUGCAAGCGUUGUCCGGAAUUAUUGGGCGUAAAGAGCUCGUAGGCGGUUUGUCGCGUCUGCUGUGAAAACGCGAGGCUCAACCUCGCGCCUGCAGUGGGUACGGGCAGACUAGAGUGCGGUAGGGGAGAUUGGAAUUCCUGGUGUAGCGGUGAAAUGCGCAGAUAUCAGGAGGAACACCAGGUGGCGAAGGCGGCUCUGG
rnacentral:rRNA from 1 species